UGACAUGUGUUGAUGGUUUCCUCUGCAGGGUUGCCACCAGAGGAUCAAUGAGCUGUUCACAGAUAAGAUCGGCAUGAUCGGCAUCGCCGCUUUGGUGGUCGCAGUUAUUAUGAUCUUCGAGAUGAUCUUCAGCAUGGUGUUGUGCUGCGGGAUCCGCAACAGCCCAGUGUAUUAAAGCGAGGGGCCGACAGCCCGCUGGAGGAGGGAGGACCCCCGCGUUUCCGCCUCGCUCUUUCCCUUUUUUCUCUUAUAAGCAGGAAACGUCACGUAUUAUGUUGCUUGCUGGAUUUAGUCCGCUCUUUGAGAAGACAGCGUAACACAUCCUCCAUUGAGCAUUUGAAUUACACUGUCCAUUCUUUUGUUGUCGGUCACACAUGCUGGUUUGCAUAUUGGACCCAUGCUACCCUAACCUGAUAUGUAGAUAUUAUAUCACACCAGUCACCAGUCCUGGUGCAUUAAUACUUUAGUGAUGCAUUAGUUGUUUACUGCUUCCUCGCGUAUGAACAUGCUCUUAUAUUCUUGGUUUUAUGGAUGUUUUUUCACUGUUUUAUGUAUAAACUGUAUAUAAAUAUAUAUAUUAACAGUGCUUUAUGACUGCCUCAGCAUGGAAAUUGUAUUACAGCAGAUCCUUCUCCUGUAUUCUUCCUGCACUCUGCUUGUUUGUCUCGCUCUAGACUGAACCAGAUGAUGGUGUGUGCAGGAACUGACUAAAGAAGUAAUUCUCAGUUAACCUUGUAACCUGGAACCAAAGUCAAAGUGACCCGAUGUCUGUCAUGUUGGACCUAUGGAGUGUUUUGUCUUUGGCUGUCUGUCGCUCAUCAUGUGUCCAAACUGUCUGAGUGCUAAGUUGUAUAAAACAUUUAUGGAAGGGUUAUACAAUUGUAUCAAAUGAAAUCAAGUAAUGUACGUUCAAAACACACUUUGGCUUGUUUGGCCGGCCCGGCUUAUAAAUCCUCACCUGCAUCUCAAAUGUAGUGAAAAGGUCUCAUAUGAAUAUCAUGAAAGUCUCAAUAUCGUUUGUGUAAUAUGUUUAGCAGGCAGGAACAUGUCACCAGGCUUUUGCUGCUCUGAGAAAUCAUUAGUUCACCUUUAGGAAUUUGUUUGAUGCAAGUGGAUACAAUUAUUACAAAUGAUACAUUUAAAAGGUUUUAUACAACUUUGCACUUAUUUGUGAAGGCAACGUGCAUAAUGUUAUAAUCAUCUCUCCCAAAUCAGAGGAAUUACAUUGAAAUAUGACCCAUCACAUUUCAACUCAAAUCAAGUUGGUGGAAAUAUCUGGUUGAGUCUAGUCCGGCCUCAUGUGACCUGCUGUGUCAUAGUACUAUCUCUCCAGCUACUACCCUUAUCAUCACCAUCAAUCAAACUGUGAUAUAUAUGGAGGUCCAUUCCUGCCAGCGGAAAAAAAGAAAAAAAAGUCCCCCAGCCGAGACUCCGGGUAUUUAACCUGAAAAGAUGAAUAGUUCCAGCUUCACUCUGUUACUUUGUUAUUAAUCCCUUACCAAGAAGUAUUCAACUAUCAUGUUGUAACGUCAGUCUAACAAAUUGAUUUCACGGCUGUUGGAUUGGCUGUUUGCUGUGUACUAUAGGGCAGCUCAGUGACAUUGAAGGCAUAGUUUAGAUGUUUUUAGUGUUGUUGUAUGAGAAGUCAGUGGAGUGGAGGGUGUUUGGCAGACGCCCACUUUGAAUAGAAACAAGUUACAGUACAGAAGCUAAGCUAUCUACUGCUGUGGAGCUGCAAAACAUUUGUUAUCCACUUAAAAGAAAGGCCUACCUAUUCAAAUCAAUAUAAAUUUGGCUAUAUUUAUCUUGACCUUGCCUGCAGAUGGCCCAUUCCAACACGAAGCACACCAGACUCCACUGACAAAAACGGUUAUUUUGGCCUUCAGAAAAUGGUAGUUUCUUAAUUCAGUAGUUUCUGUUAUUGUGUGACUUUGGUAUGUUUAUUACACCAAAGUCACACAAUAAAACAAACUAACUAACUGAUACAGUUAUAUAGAUGCAGUUUUUGUCAAUGGAGUCUGGUGCCUGAAUACAGUGUACAGUUAAAUUGAUAUAGACUUUUUCAGUGGGGCCUCCAUUUUAGAGCUUCUCAAAACAUGGGGGGUGCCAACCACCAUCCACUGGAAGUAGGAUAAGAACGUCAUACAACCCUACUUCUAAAAUAUCCAAACUAUCCCUUUAACAGCUAGUGUUGAGCCACAAAUCAGUCAUAACUGCCUGCUGGAGUUCAGCCAAUCACAUGCUGUUUAUUUGGUGCAGCAGGGUAUGUAGCUGGAUACUGUUCUGUCCUGAGGUCUGUUCCCACUAGCUCCCGCUGACACUAACACACACCUGCACACAUCCAUCACACACUCACAUUAACUGAGUCAUCUCGUGUAACCUUCCAUAUUAUCACAGCUUUCCUCAACCAAGUAAAACCUUGUUAACAUCUCAUACUUAAACCAAGAAACAGUAAAAGUGUCUUGUAAUAUUUACAGCUCUGACGUAUUAAUGAAAUCAUGAAGGCUGUAGAAAGACAAUGUAUGCCUUUUCUUCUUCUUGUAUUGUGAUAUCAGUGUUUGGUACGUUGUCAAAGGAGUCUGCGCAGAGAGGGGGAGAUUCUGUGCCAGUGGUGAAAAGUGACCUUCAAUAGUUUCUCCCCAGAAAUCAUUGGAAAACGUGACAACAGCCACCAGUCCAGUAUUCUGAAGACUUCUGUGUUUGUCAGGACCUGCUGUCCAUGUUGCUGCCUUUUUAAAAACAGGAAGUGAUUCUCAGGAUCCUCUGCCACUGAAAUCUCAACCCCUCUCUCUUGUAGACUUUGGUUUGCCCAAAUAUAAAGGGAUUAAAUGUAUUUUACAAAUAAA